UACGAAGGGGGCUAGCGUUGUUCGGAAUUACUGGGCGUAAAGCGCGCGCAGGUGGUCUUUCAAGUCAGUGGUGAAAGCCCGGAGCUCAACUCCGGAAAUGCCAUUGAAACUGUAAGACUUGAGGAUGAGAGAGGUGAGUGGAAUUCCCAGUGUAGAGGUGAAAUUCGUAGAUAUUGGGAAGAACACCGGUGGCUAAGGCGGCUCACUGGCUCAUAUCUGACGCUCAGGCGCGACAGCGUGGGGAUCAAACAGG
rnacentral:rRNA from 1 species